UACGUAGGGUGCGAGCGUUGCCCGGAUUUAUUGGGCGUAAAGGGCGCGCAGGCGGUUCGGCACGUCCGUUGUGAAAUCGCUCGGCUCAACUGGGCGGGGUCAGCGGAUACGGUCGAACUUGAGCAAGCUAGGGGGCAAUGGAAUUCCCGGUGUAGUGGUGGAAUGCGUAGAUAUCGGGAGGAACACCAGUGGCGAAGGCGGUUGCCUGGAGCUUUGCUGACGCUGAGGCGCGAAAGCGUAGGGAGCGAUCCGG
rnacentral:rRNA from 1 species